UGGCCGACGCCGCCGUUGAUGUAACCGAGGAUCUCGUCGAGGGACUCCAGUCUCUGGCUGAGCUCCCCCAUCUGCGCUUUCAAUACCGAGUUUUCCGACUCGACAUUCAUGAAGUGCUGGGUGGUGAUGUUUAUGCUGGUCAGGAUUUGGUUGUUCUCCUUCCGCAGCUGGGCGACCUGCGCCAUCAGAUCGUCCAGGUGCUGCUGCUUCCGCAUCCGCGACCGCCGCGCCGAUUCGCGGUUCGAUUGCAUCCGUUUUCUCUUUCUUUGAUCCACCGGACGAUGCAGAUCCCCUUCAGAGGCAUAGUUCUGAAGCUGAGCGGAACCAGAGGAAUUUCCGCUUGAAGAAGCCAUAGAAAUAUAUGAAGAUUUAUAUAAAAACUUAGAUUAAAUACUAAAUUAUUCAGAUAAUUAUACACGAAUAUAUAUAAUCUAGGUAUAUCUUAGGGAGCUAAUUUCUGAGAAAACAUAAAACCAGUAGAGGAAGACGACGGAGAAAGAUUGGACAAGGUGGGU
rnacentral:lncRNA from 1 species